rnacentral:lncRNA from 1 species
GCGGGCCUCCUGGCCCCGGCGCCGCUGCUGGGCAUCGCCAGAUGCCCGCUGCUGGCGCUGGCCUGGGGGCCCGCUUGCUGCAUUGCGGGGCGGGCGCCUCCUCCCCUGCCCUCCCCUGGAGGCAGCGGGACUAUCUGGGCCGGGCAGCAUAGCUGUCCUCGGGCAGGAAUGUCCCUGCUCGCCCAGAUAAUGUUAUUUAUAUCGCAGGGCUGGGCGGCUCCGCUCGGCGCUCCCCGCGCUGCCCCAGCCCCGCCGCGCCUCUGCCUCGCCGCUGCCCCGGACUCCGCGCUGCUGCUGCUGUCCUGGAUAGGGAGCAGCACCUCAGAUUGCACCUUCCUGCAUGUGAAGUUGUGAGCCAGAGCGCACCCCUCUCUGCCCUCCAGUCUGUUCACUGAAUGCAGCUGGGUAUCGUGAUGGAGCAUCUACAGACCACAGAGUUAGGAAUGCAAAAAUUCUGCUUCCUGAAGCAAUGCUAACUCGGCCCACAUUGCACACAGCGGUCACAUCUCGGUCCCUGAGCACCUCCGAUCCCAGCCCCAACAGUGGCUUCCUUUCUGCGGUUCAUGUAUAGAAAUAUGAUGUGCAAACCCUCGGGUGGAAAGCUUGAUGUCAUGGCUUGGCUUCGGACAGCUGUCCUGACACUGAGUUUGAUGGGGGUUGUCCUCCUGAUGCAUUUUCGUUGAUGAUUGUGUGAUCCAAGUGAGUGGUCAGCUCUUUCACUCUUCUGGAUGUUGUCAAAAUGUGUCAUUGCAAUUCCCUGUGCUUUUUAGUGCCUGUCCUGUGCAUCGUCUGUGCCCGAGAGGGCUGCCAAGGUUCAGAGCUCGAAUUAAAAAUAUCUGACAUUGUGUCCUCCGUGAGCUAAGGCUUCAGAAUGUCUGGGCAGAGCUGGCUGGGGGAGGUCCGCUCCGUGGGUGGUGGUUUUGUAGACUUUGCAAGAAAGGCUUGGUGACCCCGUAGUUAGGGGCACUCAGCUUGGACAUGGGACCACCUGGAUCCAGCUUCCUGCUCCUCUGCAAACUCCCUGUGUGAUGUCAGCUUGUCCCUCUGCUCCCCAUCACAGAGGUGUGUGAAGAGGAGCACACGGAGAUUGGGAGCUGCUCAGACACUGUGGUGAUGGAGACCAUGUCGCUUAUGGAGACAGUGAACUUUCUCAGGCCAAGGGCCUCUUGUGUUCUGUGUCUGCAGUACCUCAUCUGAUGGGGGCCUGGGUUGUGGCUGGGGUACCUAGGCGCUGCCAACACACGGUGAGAGAGAAAGAGCCAGGUGGCCUAACACCCCAGCUGUGGUGGCAAUGGCUGUGUGUGUUGUGCUGUUGCUAACUGUUUCCCCUCUGCUCCUUCAGCAAGUGUCCCAG